AGCUGAGAGCCUCUGUUGACAGAUGGAUGCCUUCUUAAUCACAGCCUGUGUGGGUAAAGGGAAAGCCUUGCCUGGCCAACCCCUCCCACUCCCACCCCCACCUCCUGCAUUGAUUCACAAACCUGGACUGCUCUGGAGGAGGCUGGGAAAGUCCAUCCCCAGGGAAUACCACUUUUUUCCUCUUCUGUGCCUCUCACAGGACACCCACAUGACUAGGAGGAGGCAGAAAGUGAAUAGGGAGCUCUUAUUACUUUUUGAGUGUCAGCAAGUUAAGACAUCAUCUCCAGAAAACUGUGCUAGUUGGCAUCCAGCAGUGCCCAAGUAUUAUUUAACCCACUAGAACCUGUGACUGCAUCAGCUUUAUAUCCUGGACCUCAGCCUGGAACAAAGGAGAGCUACACUUGGAUACUAAACACAAGUGGUCUGGAUAGAUUAUGCUGGGAAAAGAAGCCUGGAGCAGGCAGUACAGUGGGAGAACAAGAUGGAGUUUUGCUCUUGUCGCCCAGUCUGGAGUGCAAUGGCAUGAUCUUGGUUCACCGCAAUCUCUGCCCCCAGGUUCAAGGGAUUCUCCUGCCUCAGCCACCUGAGUAGUUGGGAUUACAGGCAUGUGCCACCAUGCCUGGGUAAUUUUGUAUUUUUAGGUGAGAUGGGGUUUCUCCAUGUUGGUCAGGCUGGUCUCAAACUCCUGACCUCAGGUGAUCCACCCGCCUCGGCCUCCCAAAGUGCUGGGAUUACAGGCAAGCCACUGCACCCAGCCAUAAUGAUCUUCUUUUUAAAGUACUAUAUAAGCAUCUUAGUACUUAACAUCUUUAUUGUCUAUAUCAAACUCUAAAACCAAGCUCCAUGAAGGCAAGGAUUUGUCUUCAAAUCUUUUGCUCUCUGUUACUUCCCCCAGCAUCUAAGUACUGCUUAGCACUUACAGCUUUUCAAGAAAUAAUUGCUGAGUAAAUAAAAGAACUAAUGAGUUUUGCUUUCUAAAUUUUUUAUUCUUGAUUGAAUAUUAUUAAAUGAUUUGAGACUGACA
ensembl:lncRNA LINC01013 long intergenic non-protein coding RNA 1013